rnacentral:sRNA from 1 species
AGCCUAAACCGGUGGUCGCCGGCAUGGUGAAAAGUGAAGAAAGUCGCGAACAGCGUAAAAAACCCAUCAUCAGGGUUGCUGUUCGCGCCAUAUCGGGAAACUGGUAUGUGGCCUCCGGGCCA